GAUGAACGCUGGCGGCGUGCCUAAUACAUGCAAGUCGAGCGAACAGACGAGGAGCUUGCUCCUCUGACGUUAGCGGCGGACGGGUGAGUAACACGUGGAUAACCUACCUAUAAGACUGGGAUAACUUCGGGAAACCGGAGCUAAUACCGGAUAAUAUAUUGAACCGCAUGGUUCAAUAGUGAAAGACGGUUUUGCUGUCACUUAUAGAUGGAUCCGCGCCGCAUUAGCUAGUUGGUAAGGUAACGGCUUACCAAGGCGACGAUGCGUAGCCGACCUGAGAGGGUGAUCGGCCACACUGGAACUGAGACACGGUCCAGACUCCUACGGGAGGCAGCAGUAGGGAAUCUUCCGCAAUGGGCGAAAGCCUGACGGAGCAACGCCGCGGGAGUGAUGAAGGUCUGCGGAUCGUAAAACUCUGUUAUUAGGGAAGAACAAAUGUGUAAGUAACUAUGCACGUCUUGACGGUACCUAAUCAGAAAGCCACGGCUAACUACGU
rnacentral:rRNA from 1 species